UACGGAGGAUGCAAGCGUUAUCCGGAAUGAUUGGGCGUAAAGCGUCCGCAGGUGGCUGUGUAAGUCUGCUGUCAAAGAGCAAAGCUCAACUUUGUGAAGGCAGUGGAAACUACACGGCUAGAGUGCGUUCGGGGCAGAGGGAAUUCCUGGUGUAGCGGUGAAAUGCGUAGAGAUCAGGAAGAACACCGGUGGCGAAGGCGCUCUGCUAGGCCGCAACUGACACUGAGGGACGAAAGCUAGGGGAGCGAAUGGG
rnacentral:rRNA from 1 species